UACGUAGGGUGCAAGCGUUUGUCCGGAAUCACUGGGCGUAAAGGGCGCGUAGGCGGCUCAUGAAGGCUGUGGUGAAAGUCCGGGGCUCAACCUCGGAUCGGCCGUGGCGACUCGUGGGCUGGAGCACUGUAGAGGCGGGUGGAAUUCCGGGUGUAGCGGUGGAAUGCGCAGAUAUCGGGAGGAACACCGGUGGCGAAGGCGGGUCUCUGGGCCGAUACUGACGCUGAGGAGCGAAAGCGUGGGGAGCGAACAGG
rnacentral:rRNA from 1 species